CCCUGCGCAUGCGCUGUCUGCCUUCGGGCCUGGAGCACCGGACGGACGAACGGCGUCCCCUGGUGGCCCGGGACCCGACGGCUGGCGUCACCUGGGGGACCCUCCCGACCUGUGGCCAGACGAGUCACCCCGCUGGGACAGCCGUCGGGGCGGUAACGAGGAAAGCUGCCCACGUAAUUGGCGGGUGCUGAAAGCGCUUCUCAGGUGGGCAGCGGGGUGAGUCGGAAACCCAUCCCCGGUGGCCAUUCCGCGGUGGCGCCACGAGGAGUGUCAGGACGGCCUCGGAGAGCGCCUGGCGCGCAGACCCGGGACCUGACGGAGGGGAUACACCCAGGCCCCCGCGCGCCUGUCCACGGAAUACGACCAACCCAUGGAGGUUUCUCGUCCGUCCAAAUCCCCACGAAGUUGUGCCGCGAACAGGACCCCCAGCAUAUUGGGAGGUUAAGGGGCCUCGCAGUCGGAGAAGGAAUGCUCACUGGCUCAGUCAGCCCGAAGAACCUGGACUGGCAGCCUCUGCAUCGAAGUUAGGCGGUAAAUAAUGACCACGGACUGCGUGCGAGGUGCUGUGAGGAAAUACAAGGCGCUUGGAACCACGGGGCAGGAAAGACACCGCAGUAGCCAAAAUACUAGAGUGGAGCAUUGACAGAUCCACGGAGAACCUCGAGAAGAAGAAUUCCAAGAUGGGACAGACUCUCAGCUCACUCCUAGCUAAAUGGUUAUAGUGUAUCAUGGUAAGAGAAGACUUCUUGGGGAGGCAACAGGUAAAGGAGGAAAAAUCUAAAAUUAACUAGGACGGUCACCUAUCAGGUGCUUUCUAUAUCUUCACUUACGUUUAAAAGAAACAGGCCCAGAGAGCUUUUCUAUCCGUCAAGAGCCAGCCAGUGCGUGGCCAGUGGGAGGGGUCCCCAACCUCCACCGUCCUGAUCAGUGGAAAAACUUUUCCGUGAAACUGGUGCCUGGUGACAAAACAAGUUGGGGACCGCUGGCCAGUGAGAGUUAAUUAUGAACAGCUGCUGUUGUUGAAUACUUACUUAUAUCCUUACAACAAUCCUGUAAAGUACCAUUUUAAAGGUGACAAUGCUGAGGCUCAAAAAAGUAAUGUGGUUCAGGCCACAAAGGCUGUAAGCAGAUCCAAGGCUCGAACUAAGACUUACUCGUUCACCCUGUACAACUAGUUACAACAAAGCAGAAAUGUACGUAAGAAGAGGAGACACAGUCUGACAGCAUUCCUAUAUGCACAGUAGGGCUGGGUCAUGAUACAAGGCUAAGAAAAUUGGUUGGAGGGAAGUGGUAAGAAUCCUUGGCCCUUCACAAAUCAGCUUGGAUGACGGUGGCCUGUGUAUAACUGUACGUACGCCCUGUUUUGUUCCGGAGAGAACUGGAAGCAAUGUAUAUCCGAGUCACGUGAAUACAUGCGGAUGGAGGAAAAACGAGUAGAGAGUCAAAAGAUAACUCAUUUUCUUAGCACUGAAUGACAUUCCAUUGCCUAGAUGUACCGCAGUGUAUCUCUCCAUCGCCUCCUGGAGGACAUCGUGGUUGCUUCCAGUUGUCGCCAGUUACCACUGUAAACAUCCACGUGCGGGUUUUCGUGUGGACACGUUUUCAGCUUUUUUGGGUAAACACCAAGGAGCAGGGUUGCUGGACUGUUCGGUUUUAUACAAAACUGCAAACUGCUGUCCAGGCAGCUGCACCAGGCAGCGCUCCCACCAGCGGGGGGUGAGAGCUGCUGCCACACCAACGUCUCCACCAGCAUCUGCUGCUGUCAGUGUGCCGACCUUGGCCAUUCUGUCACUCGUGGGUGUGGGACGGUGUUGAAUUUGCCCUGAUGCUGUAUGAUGUGGAGCAUCUCUUCAUAUGCUUAUUUGCAAUCUGUACAUCUUUGGUGAGGCAACUAUUGAUAUCUUUGCCUAUUUUUUCAGUUGUUUUCAUGUUGUUGAGUUUUAACUUUGUAUGUGUUGCUUACCAGUUAUUUAUCAAAUAUGCCUUUUAGAAUAUAUUUUAAUGUAUGAAGUAAGUACACAGAUACUUCAAUAAAACAUGUUUAUAGGGGUGUCACCUAAAAAUAA